UACGUAGGGCGCAAGCGUUAUCCGGAAUUAUUGGGCGUAAAGAGCUCGUAGGCGGUUUGUCGCGUCUGCCGUGAAAGUCCGGGGCUCAACUCCGGAUCUGCGGUGGGUACGGGCAGACUAGAGUGAUGUAGGGGAGACUGGAAUUCCUGGUGUAGCGGUGAAAUGCGCAGAUAUCAGGAGGAACACCGGUGGCGAAGGCGGGUCUCUGGGCAGUAACUGACGCUGAGGAGCGAAAGCGUGGGGAGCGAACGGG
rnacentral:rRNA from 1 species